GACCUGGCUUUUGUUGGGUUGGAUGAGUGGCGAACGGGUGAGUAACACGUGAGUAACCUGCCCUCUUCUUUGGGAUAACGCCCGGAAACGGGUGCUAAUACUGGAUAUUCACUGGCCUUCGCAUGGGGGUUGGUGGAAAGGUUUGUUCUGGUGGGGGAUGGGCUCGCGGCCUAUCAGCUUGUUGGUGGGGUGAUGGCCUACCAAGGCUUUGACGGGUAGCCGGCCUGAGAGGGUGACCGGUCACAUUGGGACUGAGAUACGGCCCAGACUCCUACGGGAGGCAGCAGUGGGGAAUAUUGCACAAUGGGCGAAAGCCUGAUGCAGCGACGCCGCGUGAGGGAUGGAGGCCUUCGGGUUGUAAACCUCUUUCGCUCAUGGUCAAGCCGCAACUGUGGGUUGUGGUGAGGGUAGUGGGUAAAGAAGCGCCGGCUAACUACGUGCCAGCAGCCGCGGUAAUACGUAGGGCGCGAGCGUUGUCCGGAAUUAUUGGGCGUAAAGGGCUUGUACGCGGUUGGUCGCGUCUGCCGUGAAAUCUCUGGCUUAACUGGGGG
rnacentral:rRNA from 1 species